rnacentral:snRNA from 1 species
AUGCUCGCUUCAGCAGCACAUAUUCUAAAAUUGGAACUAUACAGAGAAGAUUAGCAUGGCUCCUACGCAAGGAUGACACGCAAAUUCAUGAAGCAUUCCAUAUAUUU